CAGCAUCUCCAGGGCACGGUGAAGGGUGUGCUACCCCGGAGGCCUUCCACAUAUGUUUGCCAGAAGAAUGACUAAAUCUUGAAGCUUCCAAUGCUGCGGUUCUGGAGGGCUUCUCAGAAAGCACUUUAUAGAUGGAACAGAGACCCAGAGAAGAAAGGUGGCUUGCCUGAGGUCUCCGUUUCAAUACAGCCAUGCUGACGGUGUCAUCCCAGGGUCUCCAGGGACCCCAGCUGCUUAUGCCUUCUAAAGGCUUUCUUUGGAGCAUGGAGGGUGUUAAAUGAGAAACUCCAGGGUAGUGUGUGUGAGAGAGAGAAUUGGGAAGAGAGAAAAAAGGUAUGAGAAGUGUCAGGCCUCUGAGCCCAAGCCAUCGCAUCCCCUGUGACUUGCACGUAUACAUCCAGAUGGCCUGAAGUAACUGAAGAUCCACAAAAGAAGUAAAAACAGCCUUAACUGAUGACAUUCCACCAUUGUGAUUUGUUCCUGCCCCACCCUAACUGAUCAAUGUACUUUGUAAUCUCCCCCACCCUUAAGAAGGUACUUUGUAGUCUCCCCCACCCUUAAGAAGGUUCUUUGUAAUUCUCCCCACCCUUGAGAAAGUACUUUGUGAGAUCCACCCCUGCCCACCAGAGAACAACCCCCUUUGACUGUAAUUUUCCAUUACCUUCCCAAAUCCUAUAAAAUGGCCCCACCCCUAUCUCCCUUCGCUGACUCUCUUUUUGGACUCAGCCCGCCUGCACCCAGGUGAAAUAAACAGCCAUAUUGCUCACACAAAGCCUGUUUGGUGGUCUCUUCACACGGACGCGCGUGAAAAGAAGUUUUGCUAGGGGAGAGAACUGACUCUCCAUGCGUGGCUUUGAAAACCACAAGCUAGGAACAAUUUAUCAAGAAGACAUAGCAAUCAUAAAUAUAUGUACACC
rnacentral:lncRNA from 10 species